AAAUCUUAUUAAUGCAAUCAUGGUUUUCUAUAUAUUAAGAAGUAAGAAAAUUAUUUUUGAAAUGUAUUUUUUUAGUAGAGUGAAUCGAAAUAUUUUAUAAUAAAUUAUAGAUUAAAGUACUGUAAAGGAAAGAUGAAAUAAUUUGAAAAAUGUAUUAAUAAAAAGUAAAGUUAAAUUCUUGUACCUUGUGUAUUAGGGAAAAUCAAAAUAAUCUUAUUAUUUAAAGAAAUCCCGAAAGAAAAAGAGCUAUUAUAAAUAUAUAGUUUUCGUAUUAAUGAAAUUAUCAAAUUUAUACUAGUAGUGAAAUGCUAAUCGUUUUUUCAUAUCUGGUUAUUGGUGAAUUAAAUUUAAUUUGAUUAUAUUGAGGUAAUCAAAAGCUUUAAUAUAAUAAAGAAUAGGAGGGAAAAGCUUCUUGUUCUAACAUAGGUGUGUUAUGAUAUAAUGAAUAAUUAUUUUAUUGAAUUAGGCUUAAAAACAGCUAUAUUAAUAAAACGUUCUAGUUAAUAUAAUUUUUCUUUAUCAUUUUAAUAAAACUGAAUCUAACUUGUAGUAGCCAAUAUUUAUGUUAAGUAAAAUACCAUAAGUUAUAAUGAUUUUAUUAGUAGAAAUACAUUUGUGUAAAUAGAUAACAUUAAAUAAUGUAUAUAUUUUUAUUUUUUUUAGAUAUAAUUAAGGAACUCGGCAAAUACUACUUUUGCCUGUUUAUCAAAAACAUGUCUAUAUGAUUGUUAUAUAAAGUCUAGCCUGCCCACUGAAUUAUUUUUAAAGGGCCGCGGUAUACUGACCGUGCGAAGGUAGCAUAAUCAUUAGUCUUUUAAUUGAAGGCUUGUAUGAAUGGUUGGACAAAAAGUAAUCUGUCUCAGUUAUAAUAGUUGAACUUAACUUUUAAGUGAAAAGGCUUAAAUACUUUAAGGGGACGAUAAGACCCUAUAAAACUUAACAAUAAUUUGAUUAAAUUAUAAAUUGUUAGUAUAACUUGAUUUUAAUUAAUGUUUGUUGCGUUGGGGCGACGGGAAUAUAAUUAGUAACUGUUCUUAAAUAUUUUAUUAACAAGUAUAAUUGAAGAAUAAUUGAUCCUUUAUUAAAGAUUAAAAGAUUAAGUUACUUUAGGGAUAACAGCGUAAUCUUCUUUGAGAGUCCUCAUCGACAAGAAGGUUUGCGACCUCGAUGUUGAAUUAAGGUAUCCUUAUAAUGCAGCAGUUAUAAAGGAAGGUCUGUUCGACCUUUAAAUCCUUACAUGAUUUGAGUUCAGACCGGCGUGAGCCAGGUCGGUUUCUAUCUCUUAAUUUUAUUAUAACUACUUUAGUACGAAAGGAUUAAGUAGUUAAAAUAAUUUUAUUUAUAUGAUUAAUUUUAAUUUAUUUGUUGCUUUGGCAGAAUUAUGCAUUGGACUUAGGAUCCAAUAAUGUGAGUAAUUAAUCUCACAAGUAAUACUGUGAUAACAUUAAUUAUAGUUAUUAAUUACUUAUUAUUAAUCAUUUGUGUUCUAGUAGGGGUAGCAUUUGUUACUUUACUGGAACGUAAAAUUUUAGGUUAUAUUCAGAUUCGUAAAGGUCCUAAUAAAGUUGGUUUUAUAGGUUUGUUACAACCUUUUGCUGAUGCUGUUAAGUUAUUUACUAAAGAACAAACUUUACCUGUUAUAUCAAACUUUUUACCUUAUUAUUUCUCUCCUGUUUUUAGUUUAUUUGUUUCUUUAAUUGUCUGAUUAGUAAUACCUUAUGAACUGGGGCUAAUAAACUUUACUAUGAGUACUUUAUUUUUUUUAUGUUGUACUAGACUAGGUGUAUACACCACUAUAAGAGCUGGAUGAUCUUCUAAUUCCAAAUAUUCCCUUUUAGGUAGAUUACGAGCAGUAGCUCAAACAAUUUCAUAUGAAGUAAGACUUGCUUUAAUUUUAUUAUCUUUUAUUUUUUUAGUAGGGGGUUUUGAUUUAUGCUUAUUUAGACUGUACCAACGUGAUGUGUGAUUACUCUGAUUUACUUUUCCCCUAUCUUUAAUUUGAUUUGCCUCAUGUUUAGCAGAGACUAAUCGAACCCCUUUUGAUUUCGCUGAGGGAGAAUCUGAACUCGUAUCUGGUUUUAAUACUGAAUAUAGAAGAGGUGGUUUUGCUUUAAUCUUUAUAGCUGAAUAUGCAAGAAUCUUAUUUAUAAGAAUAUUAUUCUCUUUAAUUUUUUUAGGAGGAGAUUUAAUCAGUCCUUUCUAUUACUUAAAACUUGUAAUGGUCGCUUUUGCUUUUGUUUGAGUCCGUGGUACCUUACCACGUUUCCGUUAUGAUAAGCUUAUAUAUUUGGCUUGAAAAAGAUUCUUACCUGUUGCUCUAAAUUAUUUAGUAUUUUUUAUAGGGGUAAAAACUAUUUGUUUCAUUUGUUUAUUAUAAUCUAUU